AUAAAAAUCACCUAAAAGUAGAAGAUACAGAAGAUGAAGAUAGCGGCGCAGCCGACGAACAGCCGCCUAAAAACACGCGAGUGCUACAAUCGGGUGAUGUAUUAACUCCGCCAGAACUACUACCGUUAGCCAAAAGACUAAUGGCAAAAGUUGACACUCGUGCACCAGGAGAAGGCAAAGGUAUCGUAAGCUCGGCGCGAAGUGCGGAAACUUUGGCAGACACAUUAUUUCAUUCUUUUUGUACGUAUUGCUUUGUUUCAUUAUUUCCUAGAUGGUUUAAUUUGUAUAAAUACAUCCUUAUUGUGAUUACAUAUUGAUACUAUAAAUUAUGUUCCUUGUAGUUAUGACGGUUCGACGCAUUGCGAGGGUAACCAGUAAGUA